rnacentral:rRNA from 1 species
AUUGAACGCUGGCGGCAUGCCUUACACAUGCAAGUCGAACGGUAACAGGUCUUCGGAUGCUGACGAGUGGCGAACGGGUGAGUAAUACAUCGGAACGUGCCUAGUAGUGGGGGAUAACUACUCGAAAGAGUGGCUAAUACCGCAUGAGAUCUACGGAUGAAAGCAGGGGAUCGCAAGACCUUGUGCUACUAGAGCGGCCGGUGGCAGAUUAGGUAGUUGGUGGGAUAAAAGCUUACCAAGCCGACGAUCUGUAGCUGGUCUGAGAGGACGAGCGACCACACUGGGACUGAGCCACGGCCCAGACUCCUACGGGGAGCAGCAGUGGGAAAUUUUGGACAAUGGGCAAAAGCCUGAUCCAGCAAUGCCGCGUGCAGGAUGAAGGCCUUCGGGUUGUAAACUGCUUUUGUACGGAACGAAAAGCCCCGGGUUAAUACCCUGGGGUCAUGACGGUACCGUAAGAAUAAGCACCGGCUAACUACGUGCCAGCCGCCGCAGUAA